UGACCAGACAUGAGAGGGCAGAAGCCGCGAGCCGCAGCCCAAGGAGCGGAGCUGUGGAGCUUCACGGUGCUGAGGCUGCAAGAGGACAUGGGGAACGUUUGCAGGAGAAACUGCCCACCCAUGCGCGGGUCGGGGCCAGGGGUGCUCACACAUAGAUCUGCUAAAUUGUGGAGCUGGAGAUGCAAUUUCUGCUACUUUUCUCAUUGGCUGCAGCUUAAUCAUAGAUGUUUCCAGCUGAAAAGAAAUAUUCCCACACCCAGUGUUUGAGACAGCCACAGGAAAUAUCACAAUUUGGUAAUGACGACCCUCUGAGCACCUGCUUUUGUUGUACCUGCAUGUACGAGCGUGUUUUCAACUAAAACAUUUGCGAAAAAGAA